UAGUAGGUAGGAUCAGGGUGCUAGCCGUGCCCUAUUCUGAAACCGGCUAUAAGCAGAGGUCAGCAACUACGAGAUAAACUUCGUAAUUGAUGAAUUCCCGCUUAAUAUGUGAAAAUGAAAUCACGCCAAAGAGGGCAAAUACAGAUCUAGGAUCAUUCGAAAGAACGAUCUAACAAGAUCGAGCUAUCGAAAUGGAUGAGGACCUGGAGGGAGCAAUCCUAAGGUAGGAUAUCUGCGCUUCUUUGUCAACGUGUUAGAUUUCAUAUGUUUUGAAAUGGGAUCUUUAGUUAUGAUUGGAAUUCGUGGAUCUACUA
rnacentral:SRP_RNA from 1 species